rnacentral:rRNA from 1 species
AACGAACGCUGGCGGCAGGCCUAACACAUGCAAGUCGAACGCUCGUAGCAAUACGGGAGUGGCAGACGGGUGAGUAACGCGUGGGAACGUACCCUUUGGUUCGGAACCACUCCGGGAAACUGGAGCUAAAACCGGAUAAGCCCUACGGGGGCAAGAUUUAUCGCCGAAGGAUCGGCCCGCGUCUGAUUAGCUAGUUGGUGGGGUAAUGGCCCACCAAGGCGACGAUCAGUAGCUGGUCUGAGAGGAUGAUCAGCCACACUGGGACUGAGACACGGCCCAGACUCCGACGGGAGGCAGCAGUGGGGAAUAUUGGACAAUGGGCGCAAGCCUGAUCCAGCCAUGCCGCGUGAGUGAUGAAGGCCUUAGGGUUGUAAAGCUCUUUCGCGCGCGACGAUAAUGACGGUAGCGCGAGAAGAAGCCCCGGCUAACUUCGUGCCAGCCGCCGCGGUAAAAC